UCCCUGGCAGUCCAGUGGUUAGGACUUGGCACUUUCAUGGCCUUAGACCCGGGUUCAAUCCCUGGCUGGGGAG
rnacentral:tRNA from 1 species